rnacentral:tRNA from 1 species
UCCGAAGUAGCUCAGUGGUAGAGCAGGCGGCUGUUAACCGCCGGGUCGGGGGUUCGAAACCCUCCUCCGGAGCCA